rfam:Populus trichocarpa scaffold_15_contig_133, whole genome shotgun sequence.
UUUAGAACUCGAGAUAUGGGCUAAACACUGAACAGUGUCUGCGCUGCAGGACAGAUUUAGUCUUCUCUGUUGUUACUACAAUUUGGACUUGAAAACGGCCUUUUUAAAUCUUGAACUCCACAUGAAAGUUUUAGGCCUUUAUCUUAGCUUUCCAUC